rnacentral:lncRNA from 1 species
AUUUUGCAUGGUUCUUAAUUGGGUCGCAGCGUCAUUAACUUGGCCGUUGCAUGUAUAUAUAAUACAUGUCUCCUAAUUAGAGUCUAAUUCUAAUUCAAUUAGAAUUAUACUCCUAAUUAUAAUCCAUAUAUGCCAAAUUAAAUCUAAAUUAUAUAUAAUCCUAAUUAGAUUAGGAUUUAACUCUAAUUUAGAUAACUACAAAUCUAAACCAAAUAUAACAUAACUACUAUGCUCGUGUUCGGCUUGUUUAAUAAACAUAUGAACACGAGCCGGCUUCAGCUCGCUGGCGGUUGGCUCAUCGACGAUCCUAAUGGAACGGAUCUCGGGACGUGACAACUAUAAUCUAUGAAAAUGAGUUUGCGUGAGGCUAGUUUGUAAAGAAUUUUUUUUGAUCUCUACAACUUACUACCAUUCCAUGGUAUAAUCGUCUUGCUUAAGAUUGUGAUGGAACAACG